AUUGAACGCUGGCGGCAGGCCUAACACAUGCAAGUCGAGCGGAUGAAGGGAGCUUGCUCCUGGAUUCAGCGGCGGACGGGUGAGUAAUGCCUAGGAAUCUGCCUGGUAGUGGGGGAUAACGUCCGGAAACGGGCGCUAAUACCGCAUACGUCCUGAGGGAGAAAGUGGGGGAUCUUCGGACCUCACGCUAUCAGAUGAGCCUAGGUCGGAUUAGCUAGUUGGUGGGGUAAAGGCCUACCAAGGCGACGAUCCGUAACUGGUCUGAGGGGUGGAUCAGUCAAACUGGAAUUGAGAAACGGUCCAGACUCCUACGGGAGGCAGAGGGGGGAAAAAUUGGACAAGGGGGGAAAGCUUAUUCCGGCCAUGCGGGUGGGUGGAAGAAGGCCUUCGGUUUGUAAAGCACUUUAAGGUGGGAGGAAGGGAAGUAAGUUAAUACCUUGCUGUUUUGACGUUACCAACAGAAUAAGCACCGGCUAACUCCGU
rnacentral:rRNA from 1 species